rnacentral:rRNA from 1 species
CCUACGGGGGGCAGCAGUGAGGAAUAUUGGUCAAUGGGCUUACGCCUGAACCAGCCAAGCCGCGUGAGGGAAGACUGCUCUAUGGGUUGUAAACUUCUUUUGUCAGGGAGCAAUUGGCGCUACGUGUAGCGUUAUCGAGAGUACCUGAAGAAAAAGCAUCGGCUAACUCCGUGCCAGCAGCCGCGGUAAUACGGGGAAUGCGAGGGUUAUCCGGAUUUAUUGGGUUAAAGGGGUGCGUGGGCGGAAUGCCAAGUCAGCGGUAAAAUCGCGGGGGUAAACCUCGCUCCGCCGUUGAAACUGGCGGUCUAGAGUGGACGAGAGGUAGGCGGAAUGCGUGGUGUAGCGGUGAAAUGCAUAGAUAUCACGCAGAACUCCGAUUGCGAAGGCAGCAUACCGGCGCCCAACUGACGCUGAAGCACGAAAGCGUGGGGAGCGAACAGGAUUAGAUACCCGAGUAGUC